rnacentral:rRNA from 1 species
AUUGAACGCUGGCGGCAGGCCUAACACAUGCAAGUCGAACGGUAACAGGGUUCAGCUUUCCGAUUCGCUGACAAGUGGCGGACGGGUGAGAAAUGUCUGGGAAACUGCCUGAUGGAGGGGGAUAACUACUGGAAACGGUAGCUAAUACCGCAUAACGUCGCAAGGCCUAAGAGGGGGAACUUCGGGCCUCUUGCCAUUGUAUGUGCCCCGAUGGGAUUAGCAAGUAGGUGGUGUAACGGUUCACCUAGACGGCGAUCCCUAGUUGGACUGAGAGGAUGACCAGCCACAGUGGAACUGAGACGCGGUCCAGACACGUACGGGAGGCAGCGGUGGGACAUAUUGCACAAUGGGCGGUAGCCAGAAGCAGACAUGGCGCGUGUAUGAAGAGGGGCUUCGGGUUGUAAAGGACUAUGGGCGGGGAGUAAUGGAGUAAAGUUCUGAGCGAUGCUCAUUGACGUUACCCGAAGAAGAAGCCCCGGCUAACUACGUG